UCAACCAUCAAGCCUGGCUUGUCGUUGGACCCAUUUGCAGCUGAAAAUAUGCGGCAGGUCCGAAAGAUCAUGACGGCGUCGUGUUUGACCCUAGAUGCAACGAGCUUUUUAUAGCACGCAUUGAAGUGGUUGACCGACCCGGUCUUUAACCAUCAUUUUUCUAA
rnacentral:misc_RNA from 1 species